rnacentral:antisense_RNA from 1 species
GUUUGAAAAAAGAAAAGAUAUGCCUGACCCAAGAAGUAAUGUAUCAAUUUUAUUCGCCAAAUAAAUUAUAGGGAAAUAUUUUCAAAGGUAAUUAUGAUCAUGAAUUGAAAAAAAAGAUAAUUGUUUAGAAAUCCAUAUCACGGCUCAUCACACCACUUAUUCUCUUCUCUUAUUGCGGAUUCCUCUUCUGGAGUGAAAUCAUUUUCUAUAUUAAAUAUUUGGCGUAUUUCCUCAGCUUUUUUCCCUUUAAUCAUAGUUGCAACCUUAGCGCAAGAUAGAUCCAACAAAGGUUUAAUAUCCAGGUAAUUCGCUGCCUAAGAAAUAAUAGCGAUAUUAAUAUAUUAGCCACUAACUUACCAACAUAAGCUCAAACAAAAACUCCUGCUGAAUAUUUACAAACUCUUCAUCCCACUCACAUACUAUGUUAGAUAAACUAUUGCUUCUAAGUGGUUUUGGAAUCUCUUUAGAGGGAUUGUCAACGUGAUAUUCGCAAUAGUCGAGCACUUUACGUAAAACAUCUCCUCUUACAUUUGGGAGUGGAACGGGGUCGUCAAUGCCAACAUCUGAUAUGUUAAAUUAUUAAAAUUCGAAAAUUUGUACCAAAAAUUACAAUUACAUACCCUCGAUUAUAUUCCUCACUAAUGUUGACGCCGUUGCAACACGUACAUCAACUGCAAAUUCUUCUCCUUCUGAGCUUAAUAAUCUUACCUUUGGAAAAAUCAUAAUAAAUAAUUAUUAUUAAUUUAAAUGGGAUGAGCAAUAAAAACGCGGUAAGUUACCUUUUUCGGGUAUGUAGUUGAAAAGCCAACAAAUAUUGUGAAAAAAAGGAAAUAUAACUUAUCUAUCGCUAUUAUUAAGAGUAGUCAUAUUUAAUAUUAAUAUAAUAGAUGGAAUUAUAUAGAAUAGCUAGUCUAAACAUCUGAGUCAUACACGGUUUUCCCGACGAUCAUAUAAGAUCUAUCUGAUAAUCUAAUUACUUCAUUACCAAAUCCGCAUAACGCACCUACUAUAACUCCAAUUGUAUAGCAAUAAUGUUUUUGCUUCAUUAACGAGAUGUUUACAUAGUGAAUCUGCUCGUGUGUGUCUUCAACAAGCCCAAAUAGAAACCCAAAAAUAAUUCCAAUAAAUAAUGAAGAGCAAAUGACAAAUAUUAUUUGAGCCUUUGAAUUAACCAACAAUGGACUGUCAUUACUGGAAAUAAAGCCAGAAAUAUAAUUAACGGCAUCUACAAGAGAAAAUGCAAUAGCAAAUGAAAUAGAGAGGCCGAGAAUGGUAUAAAUUGGUACUCUAAUAAUUGGUGUCAUUCCAAGGAACCAAUCAUUUUCAAGAAUAAAGCAGAUAAAACCGGAAAAUAUGAUCAGCGCAGCAAAUGUUAAUAGAGAUGUUCGUUUAUUUAAAGCGUUCUCUUCAUCUGGAAUAAUUGUUACAUAUACCUUCCAAAAUAUCAGUCCUCCAAUUAUUACAAAUAAGAGGCCAAAAUAUGUUGAGAAAAAUGGCGAUAAACUUAUUUCAACCAGAGUUGCGUUGACAGUAGUUGAAACUACUAGGCCUAAUAAUAUCCCCACAAUUGUACUUAUUAUACCACGCUUAGAAAACGCCUCUUCAUAGUUGAGGGAUCCAAAUGUUUCCAUGAUUGAAGAUGCCAUUAUUCCAAAAAUUAUUUCGAAUAACUUACAUUAAUGAACAGCUUAAUUUUUAGUAUAUUGAGAUGAGGGAUGAGUAAGAAAAAAAACCUAUUUGGCGGUAUACUAGUUUUAGGCAAAAAGGUAAGAAUUGAUGCUUGAAAGAUUCGAAAAAUCCUUAAACAUGUGUUUUUAGAAGUUUAUAUCACGAUAAUGUUGGCUAGAUACUUGCUUAACAUACAAAUACAUCUUAUUUGAAUUGCGUGCG